CUCGCAAAAGCUGCAAGGAGAGAACGUGCCUUGUGCCUUUCCUUAGCACAAAGGGCAGCCUCAGUGAAACUCUUAGGUUAAGCAGUAAGUCCUGGAAGCCCGAACUACUGUCUAUUUCGAGAGGGCGGUUCAUCUUUUCCAAUACUUGUUUGGGAUUCAGUUACACCACGAUUCAAGUAAUUCCCCUCCUCAAACAGAAAAGGAGGGAAUAAAACCAACUCCAUUGCAAUGGUUUAUCCUCCUCUUCUAUCUUCUGUUAUACAUUAGGGCAUAGAAUGCUCUUUACAUCUCCUUUAACAACCACAAACCUUAAGCCAUGUAGCUGAAAUUAUUGUAUCAACUGGAUACAGUUCCAUAUUGCCUUAAACCUCCUUGUUUUAGACACACUAACAUUUAUGCCAAAUUGCAGAUUAUUCUGCAGCGAUGGAAUUGCAUGUUUGUGUUGUAUAUUUAGUAUGAACUUUUUUUUUCAGAACAUAAUGUUUCUUAGUUAUCAAAAGCAGUUGGAAAAUGUUUGCAAGACUAUGAACAAAGAAAUUCUUCAUGGUGUGGAGCAGAACAUUAUCAACAGAAUAAAAUUAAUGAAAAGGAAAAGGAAAGAGCAUAAUAUACGUGGCUCUGAAAUGUAGUCACUUCUCAAAGUUCCAAGAUAAGCUGGAUAACCAAGAGCUUAUGGGAUGUUUGAAGGCUGACCUAAAGCCAACAGUGAACUCACCAAAAAACUGCAGUAUAUGUAUUGAAAUAUGAUUUCUUAAGGGCCUUAUUCCUAUAAGGAGAUGGAUAAAAUCAUAGUCAACCAGACUGCUUUUUGUGUUUUUUGGAAGAAAGUUCUCGAUAAGCCACCUGGGAGUUGAAGGUGAGACUAUAUAAAAUCAAAGAAGCACAGAACUGUUCUGUUCAGCACAGUAUGAUCAUUGGUUGGUCAAGUCUGUGAACUUUGAUAUGAAUCUGAGUUCUGUUAACUUAUGAAGUCUGUGAAUCUGAUAAUGUCACUCUCCUGAGUCUGUUUCCUUGAGUGGAAAAAGGAGUCAUUAAUAAGAGUGUAUUUCAUUAAGCUUCUGCUGGGAUGAUUAUAAAUAUGGUGCUCAGUAGAUAUUAGUUAUUAUUGUUAAUAGUAAUCAAAAAUUGUUUCAUAUGUCAGUAAUGUUACUGCAGACUCUAAGGGAGCAAGGUCGGUGUAUAUUUAACGUAUAUUUCCCUUAUGCAAGAUAAGAUAGUAUUCCCUAAAAUCUUAUACAGCUUAAUUAUGUUCCACAUCAAAAGGGUCUAUAGCCUAAUAAAUUUUGGAAACCUUUCAUGUUUUGAGACUCACAAGAAACAUUAUUAUAUUAAGGUCUCUGGAAAAAUCAGGCAUUAAAUAAACUUGGAACUUUUACAUAGCUCACUUCUUCCUAAGCAUAUUUGAUCACACAAUGUUUUAUGGAAAACAUACUAAUUGAAUAGUUAGCUUAUUCCAUGCCAAUUUACCUUGGUAUCCCUAUUUUACAAGGGAAGUUAAGUAACUUGUUCAAGGUUACAUACUCCAGAAGUAGAGGGUAGAGGGUUAAGAUUGACAACCAAUUAUUUGGUCUCUGGUGACCACAUGAUUGACUGUUUCACUAACCUAUCCUUAGAUCCUUCCUGGGAUCUAACAUUCAAUGGAAGAUACUUUAGGAAAUGCUGGUUGUGAACAGUAUUUUGUUCAGGCUGGGGUAGUCACAGUGAUCUGUAUAUACCACGUUGUUCACACAUGUAUUCUUUUCCUAACACUGUGUCACUCAUUCUUUUUUUCAUUCUUAAAUUUUAUAACUUAUCUAAGACCCUGGUCAAACCAUGUGUUCUUUUCCACAUAGUCUUCUUUAUAGUUUUAGCCAUGGUGGUCUUACUUCUUCUGAUUUCCUAGACAUUUCACAUCUGUUUCAUUGAGUUCAUGGGCAGAUGUCCUACUAAACUCUGGAUAUGUUGUUUAUGUGAAUGUUGUUUUCUUAACUAGCAUGUAGAUCUUUGUAGAUGGUACUGUUUUAUGCUAGAAAUUCUAACAGCAUAACAAAUGUAUGUUGGUUAGUAUUUUUUAUUUAACAUCUGGAGGUGUUUCAGGUUUACUUGGUAUGAAUCCCACAUUGCUAACACGAAGAAAUGAAUUCCAUUUGCAGUCCUUUUUUUUGUUUUUUUUUUUUUUUUGUUUUUUUUUUUUUUUGUUUUUUUUUCCAUUUGCAGUCCUAAUGAUUACCAUACAAAUUGGAAAUGAUCACCUCUGCAUGUUCAUGUGAGUAAAUAAUUCACAAAUUCAACUAAAAAUAACACUUUUGAAAUUAUAAGUGAUAGCAAAUGAGUAAGCAUAUGAUCUUUAAACUGACAUGACAUAGAAUUAAAUAUAAUCACAAAGAGGAGACUAACAAAAUGUACUUAUUAAAGUCAUAUUUCAUUUCAUUCCCAGUUUGAUUCUUGGGGUGACCUAUUUCUUAGGAGGUUUG
rnacentral:lncRNA from 1 species